UUCAAAACAGUAUUUUAUUGAUUCGUUUCUGAUGGUUUAUCUUCCGAUAUUCUAUAAGGAGUCUUGAAUAUAUUUCACUGUAGUUUGUCAGUGACUUGAAUACAGCUAAUUGGUUAAGCGGUCUGAUAGGGGCGGGCUUGAGAGAUUUUACAGGCCAUUCAGACUGUCAUUCAUAAGAGGGCCUCUACGCCUGGCCACACGUUUUCUUACGGUAAAUACGGCAUGGAAAUAGAGCACUUUAAACUUCCCUGAAGCCACCGAAACAAUGACGAGUCACCCUUACACCAAACAGUAUAAGAUAUCCAACGAUAAGGACAAGACAAUCAAAGAACUGAGGACCAUGUCGGCCAACGUUACAAAAACAGAAAAAGCAGACGGUACAACACAUUUGGACAAGACAUUAAUAAAGGGAAUGCUAUUGGGCAAUAGCCUCAAUAACAUAUACAUUUUUUAUACACUUACUCCAGUAAAUGUCUGAUAACCAGUCUGCAAUUAAACAAACCUUUAUUUUUCUCGAACAAUCA